CCUACGGGUGGCAGCAGUGAGGAAUAUUGGUCAAUGGACGAGAGUCUGAACCAGCCAAGUAGCGUGAAGGAUGACUGCCCUAUGGGUUGUAAACUUCUUUUAUAUGGGAAUAAAAUGUUCCACGUGUGGGAUUUUGUAUGUACCAUAUGAAUAAGGAUCGGCUAACUCCGUGCCAGCAGCCGCUGUAAUACGGAGGAUCCGAGCGUUAUCCGGAUUUAUUGGGUUUAAAGGGAGCGUAGGUGGAUUGUUAAGUCAGUUGUGAAAGUUUGCGGCUCAACCGUAAAAUUGCAGUUGAAACUGGCAGUCUUGAGUACAGUAGAGGUGGGCGGAAUUCGUGGUGUAGCGGUGAAAUGCUUAGAUAUCACGAAGAACUCCGAUUGCGAAGGCAGUUCACUGGACUGCCACUGACACUGAGGCUCGAAAGUGUGGGUAUCAAACAGGAUUAGAUACCCCAGUAGUC
rnacentral:rRNA from 1 species